rnacentral:ncRNA from 1 species
GUGUGUUAAGAUAAAAGAGAAUGUUAGCAACCCCUAAGAAAAGGACACAAGUGAUCCUAGUAGCCUUUUUUAACACAAUGGUUUCAAGGCAGUGGUUUUGGAAAGUAAAUUCA